UAGAGUUUGAUCCUGGCUCAGGACGAACGCUGGCGGCGUGCCUAAUACAUGCAAGUCGAACGCGUCUUGGUUAAUGAUGUUAGGUGCUUGCAUUUAACUGAUUUAACAUUGAGACGAGUGGCGAACUGGUGAGUAACACGUGGGUAACCUGCCCUGAAGUGGGGGAUAACACUUGGAAACAGGUGCUAAUACCGCAUAACAACGAAAACCACAUGGUUUUCGUUUGAAAGAUGGCUUCGGCUGUCACUUUUGGAUGGACCCGCGGCGUAUUAGCUUGUUGGCGAGGUAACGGCUCACCAAGGCCAUGAUACG
rnacentral:rRNA from 1 species